rnacentral:rRNA from 1 species
CCUACGGGAGGCAGCAGUGAGGAAUAUUGGUCAAUGGGCGGAAGCCUGAACCAGCCAAGUCGCGUGAGGGAUUAAGGCCCUGCGGGUCGUAAACCUCUUUUGCCGGGGAGCAGUGGUCCGGACGCGUCCGGACCGGGAGAGUACCCGGAGAAAAAGCAUCGGCUAACUCCGUGCCAGCAGCCGCGGUAAUACGGAGGAUGCGAGCGUUAUCCGGAUUUAUUGGGUUUAAAGGGUGCGUAGGCGGGCAUUUAAGCCGGCGGUCAAAUGUCGGGGCUCAACCCCGGCCUGCCGUCGGAACUGGGUGCCUUGAGUGCAGAAGAGGAGAGUGGAACUCCAUGUGUAGCGGUGAAAUGCGUAGAUAUAUGGAAGAACACCAGUGGCGAAAGCGGCUCUCUGGUCUGUAACUGACGCUGAGGUUCGAAAGCGUGGGUAGCAAACAGGAUUAGAUACCCCAGUAGUC